UACGAAGGGGGCAAGCGUUGCUCGGAAUCACUGGGCGUAAAGGGCGCGUAGGCGGGGAGGUAAGUCGGGUGUGAAAUCCCUCGGCCCAACCGAGGAACUGCGCCCGAGACUGCUUCUCUUGAGUCCCGGAGAGGAAGAUGGAAUUCCCGGUGUAGCGGUGAAAUGUGUAGAGAUCGGGAGGAACACCGGUGGCGAAGGCGGUCUUCUGGACGGUGACUGACGCUGAGGCGCGAAAGCGUGGGGAGCAAACGGG
rnacentral:rRNA from 1 species